ACGCAGGACGUCCUCUAAAGCAACUUCCGUGGGUGCCAGGUUGUGGGCUGGGGGCGGUGCUGACCUUGAGAGAGCGGAGGAGGCGCAGGCGCAGCACAGUUUAAACUUGAUUUUGUGAGGGGACGAACAGCGUGACAAUUAAAAGAAGAUCUGGGAAUCAAAAGCUUCCUGAGGCCUUCACCAGAAGCAGAUGCUGGUGCCGUGCUUCUACAGCCUGCAGAACUGAAGGACUUUACAGCUUCUCUUUCGCAUAUCCAAAUUGCCAGCAUCACCGCUCUUGCACUCCAAGCCAUUAUUAAGUAAAGUAAAGAACACAAACACUGUGAUACUGCUACACUUGAUCUGAUAACCAAGAAGUCUACUAAGUGACUAACAGCAGAGCAACUGGGAACCUAAUUCUGACCAAAAAGGAGGAAUUGUUUGGCUAAUUGGAAGUGACAGAAACCUUGGGAGAAAGCAACCGCAUACCAAGGAUAAUUAUAAGAAGAAGAGAAGACAUGGAGAAGAGGAGGGAGUAGUUGUGACCGUGGAGGCAGAGAAUGGAGUAAUGUGAUCAUAAAUCAAGGAAUGCUGACAGCCACUAAAGCUGGAGAAGGCCAAGGACAGAUAUUCAAUCCUCCCGUAGAAGUACAGCCCUGCUAAUGCAUUGAUUUUGGACUUCUGGCCUCAGAACUGUCUGGAAAGCAUGGAAAUUUGUAUCUUCAUUCACUUUUGUUUUCAUGGACUCUUUUCAUGUUUGAACUUUUCAUGGUAUGAGCUGUUUUAUAAUCUAUAAUAUGGAAUGUUUCUCAUACGAAUGUUUUUCUUAUUGAAGAAUGCCAUAGAAAUAAGGGUGUGAGGUAUACUUACUUGACAGGAGAAUUUUACUCCUUUUAUUUUAUUUACUUAUUUAUUUUUAAGACGGAGUCCUGCUGUGUUGUCCAGGCUGGUCUUGAACCCCUGGACUCAAACGAUCUUUCUCCUUGGCCUCCCAAAGUUCUGGGAUUACAGGUAUGAGCUACAGUGCCCUGAGAGUCCUUUUUAAAGUAGUGAAUGCUCAAACAUGGAAUUAAAUUUAGGCAAAGCUCACUUUUAUUUAUACAUAAAACAACUUCAGCCAUGUACCUCAUAACGAUAUUUUGGCCAAUGUCUGACCUUAUAUACAAUGGUUGUCCUGUACGAUUAUAAUGAAGCUGAAAAUUUUCUAUUGCCUAGUAACAUUGUAGUAAUUGUAAUGUAGCACAACCUAUCACACGUGUUUGUAGUGAUGCUGGUGUAAACAAACCGACUGCAUUGCCAGUCUAGUAUAAAAGUCUAGCACACACAAUUAUCCACAG
rnacentral:lncRNA from 1 species